UAUGCAGAAAAAGUAAGUCGCUCUGGAUAAGAGCGUCUGCUAAAUGACUUAAA
rfam:Salmo salar isolate Sally breed double haploid chromosome ssa12, whole genome shotgun sequence.